UACAGAGGGUGCAAGCGUUGUUCGGAAUUAUUGGGCGUAAAGCGCGUGUAGGCGGCUUGGCAAGUCGGGUGUGAAAUCCCUCAGCUUAACUGAGGAAGUGCGCCCGAAACUGCUUUGCUUGAGUGUCGGAGAGGAUGGCGGAAUUCCCCAAGUAGAGGUGAAAUUCGUAGAUAUGGGGAGGAACACCGGUGGCGAAGGCGGCCAUCUGGACGACAACUGACGCUGAGACGCGAAAGCGUGGGGAGCAAACAGG
rnacentral:rRNA from 1 species